rnacentral:lncRNA from 1 species
GCUCUGCUCUCUAUCGGUAGUCAAAUCAGUACUUUGUCUUUGCCUGUCUCUGUCCAUUCCUUCAACACUGAUGGACUCGGAGUGGCAUAACCCCUUUAAUAAGAAGCAUAAGACCUAAAGCGAGGAGAUAGAAUCGAAAGAAUGAUAGCAAGUUCUUUGAAAGUGGGAAGAAAGCCAAGGAUACGGUGGUGUGUAGGGUCUUUCAAAUCAAUCAGGAAAGCGUGAGCUGAGAAGGAACAC